UACAGAGGGGGCAAGCGUUGUUCGGAAUUACUGGGCGUAAAGGGCGCGUAGGCGGCCUGUUAAGUCGAACGUGAAAUCCCCGGGCUCAACCCGGGAACUGCGUCCGAUACUGGCAGGCUUGAAUCCGGGAGAGGGAUGCGGAAUUCCAGGUGUAGCGGUGAAAUGCGUAGAUAUCUGGAGGAACACCGGUGGCGAAGGCGGCAUCCUGGACCGGCAUUGACGCUGAGGCGCGAAAGCCAGGG
rnacentral:rRNA from 1 species